UGCAAGUCGAGCGGAUGAAGGGAGCUUGCUCCUGGAUUCAGCGGCGGACGGGUGAGUAAUGCCUAGGAAUCUGCCUGGUAGUGGGGGAUAACGUCCGGAAACGGGCGCUAAUACCGCAUACGUCCUGAGGGAGAAAGUGGGGGAUCUUCGGACCUCACGCUAUCAGAUGAGCCUAGGUCGGAUUAGCUAGUUGGUGGGGUAAAGGCCUACCAAGGCGACGAUCCGUAACUGGUCUGAGAGGAUGAUCAGUCACACUGGAACUGAGACACGGUCCAGACUCCUACGGGAGGCAGCAGUGGGGAAUAUUGGACAAUGGGCGAAAGCCUGAUCCAGCCAUGCCGCGUGUGUGAAGAAGGUCUUCGGAUUGUAAAGCACUUUAAGUUGGGAGGAAGGGCAGUAAGUUAAUACCUUGCUGUUUUGACGUUACCAACAGAAUAAGCACCGGCUAACUUCGUGCCAGCAGCCGCGGUAAUACGAAGGGUGCAAGCGUUAAUCGGAAUUACUGGGCGUAAAAGCGCGCGUAGGUGGUUCAGCAAGUUGGAUGUGAAAUCCCCGGGCUCAACCUGGGAACUGCAUCCAAAACUACUGAGCUAUAGUACGGUAGAGGGUGGGUGGAAAUUUCC
rnacentral:rRNA from 1 species